rnacentral:rRNA from 1 species
AGGGUGUAAACGCUGCAGACUUGGUGUUGGAAGUCCUUUGGGGGCAUUCAGUGCCGGAGAGAAGUUGUUAAGUCUGCUACUUGGGGAGUACGUCCGCAAGGAUGAAACUUAAAGGAAUUGGCGGGGGGAGCACCGCAACGGGAGGAGCGUGCGGUUUAAUUGGAUUCAACACCGUAAAACUCACCAGGGAAGACUGUUACAUGAAAGCCGAGAUGAAGACUCUGCUAGAUUUUUCAGAGAGGUGGUGCAUGGCGUCAGUGACU